rnacentral:tRNA from 1 species
GCGGGUAUUGUUUAGUGGUAAAACCUCAGCCUUCCAAGCUGAUCCCGCGGGUUCGAUUCCCGCUACCCGCACCA